CUACCGCCAGCCUCUCUGCUGUGGGAAGCUGGGGGGGGAGGGGGUGGGGGUCUUCUUUGAUUUGAAAUGGGUAUCUGUCUUACGAACAUGAAUAUGCUCUCAUUCCAGGGAUCAAGGCAUGAUUUUUUUUAAAUACUAAUUUUUAAACUCAAUGUAACAUAUACCUACACACACACACCCACACACACACACACCACGUACACACACACACACACACACACACACACACCACGUACACAUGAUAUGCUUUUCUCUCAUUCAUUUAGCUUGUUCUUAACCCUCUUUCCAGCUAAGCUUUUUCUUACUAAACUUAAAUUUUCACUUAAUGUUAUUCUUUCUAUUAAUCAUUUUUUUAUUGCGCUAUUUCACAUAACAUAAAAUUCACCAUUUUAAAGUAUACAGUUCAGUGGUUUUUCACAGGGUUGUAUAACCACCGCCACUAUCCAAUUCCAGAACAUUUCCAUCACCUUCAGAAGAAGCCCAAUACCCACCAGCAAUAGCUACCCUUCACCUGUCCUCUCCCCAGCCCCCGUGACCCCUAAUCUACUCUGCUCUGCUCUACUCUUCUCUCUCUCUCUCUCUCUCUCUCUCUCUGGAUUUGCCCGCUCUGGACAUGUCAUAUAAGUGGCAUAACAUGGCACGUGGCUUUUUGUGUCUGCCUUCUUUCACACGGCACAAUGUUUUCAGGGCUUAUCCAUGUGGGAGCACGUAUCUGUAUUUCAUCCUCUUUUUAUGGCCGAAAUAUGUUCCAGUAUAUGGAUGGACCACCUUAUGUCUAUCCAUUCAUCAGCUGAUGGACAUUUGGGUUGUUUCCACCUUUCAAGUCUUUGUAUGAACAUAUUCUCAGUUCUCUUGGGUAUAAAUCUAGAUGUGGAAUUGCUGAGUCAUGAUAACUUAUAUUUAUCUCUUGAAGGAACUGCCAGACUGUUCCGCAGUGGCUACACCAGCUUGUAUUCUCACCAGUAGCAUAUGAGGGUCCACUUUCUCCACAUCCUUGCCAACAUUAGUUGUUAUCCAUUUUUUUAAAAAAUUAUACACAUCCUAGUGGAUAUGAAGUAGUGCCGCAUUGUGAUUAUUUGCAUUUCCCUAACAACUAAUGAUGUUUAUGCCCGUUUUUAAUUGGGUUAUUUGUCUUUUUUGUUGAGUUGUAAGAAUUCUUCUUCAUAUAUUCUGCAUAGUAGACCCUUUUCAGAUACAUGAUUUACAAAUAUUUUCUCUUGUUCUCUGGGUUUUCAUUUUCUUAAUCACACACAUCGUUUUAAUUUUGAUGAAGUCCACUUUAUUUUUCUUCUAUUGAUUGUGCUUUUGGUGUCAUAGCUAAGGAACCAUUACCUAAUCCAAGGUCAGAGAUUAUUCUUUCCCUGUCUUUUUCUUUUUAUUGAAGUACAGUUGACUUUAUAUAUAUAUAUAUAUAUAUACACACACACACACACACACACACACACACACACAUUUAUUUAUUCAUGGGCUCAGUAGUUGUGGCUCAUAGGCUCUAGAGCGCAGGCUCAGUAGUUGUGGCACACGGGCUUAGUUGCUCCGUGGCAUGUGGGAUCUUCCUGGACCCACAGGGGAUUGAACCCGUGUCCCCUGCAUUGGCAGACGGAUUCUCAACCACUGUGCCACCAGGGAAGCCCUGACUUUUUAUUGAAGUAUAAUUGAAGUAUAAAUUAAUACAUUAGCUUCAGGUGUACAACAUAGUGAUUGGAUAUUUUUGUACAUGUUUUUUCCCUAUUGGUUCGUACUAGCAACCUGUCAAAAUCAAUUGGCCAUAGAUGUAUGGGUUUCUUUCUGGAUUCCCAAUUCUUUUCCACUGAUCUAAAUGUCUGUUCUUAUGCCAGUACAUUGUCUUGGUUACUGUUGUUUUGUAGUAAGUUUUGGAAUUGUGACAUCCAACUUCGUUCUUUUUCAAGAUUGUGUUGGCUAUUCUGGGUCCAUAUAAGUUUCAGAAUCAGCUUGUCCGUUUCUGCAAAAAAGGCAGUUGGAAUUGUGAUGGGGAUUCUAUUAAAUCUGUAGAUUGCUUUGGAAGGAGAAUUGACAUCCUAACAAUAUUUUUUCUUCUGUGAACAUGGAUGUCUUUCCAUUUAUUCAGACUGUCUUGUAUUCUUUUUAAACUGUGUCUCAUAUUGAUAGUUUUCAUUAUGCAAGCCUUUACACUUCUUUGGUUAAAUUUAUUCCUAAGUAUUUUAAGUUUGAUGCUAUUGUUAAUGGAAUUGUUUGUUCAUUGCUGGUGUGUAGAAAUAUAAUUAUGUAUUGAACUUGUAUCCUGCAACCUUGCUGAACUCAUUUAUUCUAAUAUUUUUUGUGUGGAUACUUCAGGGCUUUUUUAAUAUGUGACCAUGUCAUCUGCAGAUGCAGAUAGUUUUACUACUUACUUUUCCUAUUUGAAUGCCUUUUAUUUAUUUUUCUUGCCUAAUUGCUUUGGAUAGAAUUCGCAGUACAUUGUUGAAUACAAGUGGUAAGAACAGGCAUCCUUGUCUUGUUCCUGAUCUUGGGGGAAGCCUUACAGUCACUUAAGUUUCUCUUAGAUGCUGUUUACUAGACUGAAGAAAUUCCCUUCUAUUCCUAGUUUUUUGUUUUGUUUAGUUUCGUUUUGGUUUUAGUGUUUUUAUUAUGAAAGAGUGUUGGAUUCUGUUUAAAUGCUUUUUCUACUGCAUUGAGAUAACUAUGUGCUUUUUGUCCAUCAAUAAUGGUGCAUUAUGUUGAUUUUUUUUUUUUUUUUUAAUGUUGAAUCACCCUUGCAUUCUUGGGAUAAAUACCACUUGGUCAUGGUGUAUAACGCUCUUUAUAUGCUGCUGGAAUUUAUAUGUUUGCUGGAAUUUUCUUGAGGAUUUUUCCAUCUUUAUUCAUAGGAAAUUGGUCUGCCAUUUUCUUUUGACGAUUUUGUCUGGUUUUGGUGUCGGGCUAGUUCUGGCCUCAUAGAAUGUGAAUUAGGAAAGUCAUUUAUUUGUGAGUCCUGCUUCAAGUUAGUCCAGAAUACAUUCUCAGUUUCUAAUAACAAAACUAAUCUGCUGCUCUGCACGUAGGAGUGUUCUUCACUCCUCAUUCCUCACCGGAAGGAGGAGGCUUCCGUUAGGGUGGAGGCUUAGGUUGCCCCCAGACCCUGGUGUGGGGCUCUGCCCUCGGUCGGGGACCUGCUUUUCGGAGCUGAGCUCCCCACCAGCCCCUGAGCCAGUUUUUAGUGCAGAGCCGGCUCCCCGUGGGGGGCUGACCCCUCCCCUGCCCUCCACAGUAGGAGUCAGCUUGGCUCGGGAAGGCAGCCUCUGCAUCUGUGCCCCGGGCGUGGCCAGCAGCGUCCUCAUCCUGCUCUGGACUCUGGGCCAGUCACCACACCAGAGGCCUCUCCAGCUCUCCUUGACCAGGAUGGGCUUCCCUUACGUGGGGGGCGGCCCUUUCCGUCCAGGGAGGAGGGGCUGCGCAUGUGAGCGGCCUGGUGACUGUCCGAUUCCAUGGGAUCGGGAAGCUGUGGAGCUAAAGGAGAGCUGAGAAACGGUUGACCACCUACUCUCGGGGGGAGGAAGCGGCCCAGAGGCCACACGACGGGCUUAGAGUUCACCAAAGGUGGGUCAGCGGCAGGGUGACGGGCACCAUCCCCAUCCUGUUUGUGAGCAGACGGUGUUGUCCACCGUGUCUGGGCCCAUGACACUCCCUCUGCUCAUUCUUUGCGGUGAUCAGUGUUCAAGAUGCGCCGUCAGGCAUCUAAGAAGAUUUAGUCAAAGGAAUCAGUUAUGCACGAUUUCUAAUAUUUGUAGUAGAAUUGUCAGUUUUAAUACUAGGUGAUCAAGAGCAGAAA